rnacentral:rRNA from 1 species
AUUGAACGCUGGCGGCAGGCCUAACACAUGCAAGUCGAACGGAUCCUUCGGGAUUAGUGGCGGACGGGUGAGUAACACGUGGGAACGUGCCCUUUGGUUCGGAACAACUCAGGGAAACUUGAGCUAAUACCGGAUGUGCCCUUCGGGGGACAGAUUUAUCGCCAUUGGAGCGGCCCGCGUCUGAUUAGCUAGUUGGUGAGGUAAAGGCUCACCAAGGCGACGAUCAGUAGCUGGUCUGAGAGGAUGAUCAGCCACAUUGGGACUGAGACACGGCCCAAACUCCUACGGGAGGCAGCAGUGGGGAAUCUUGCGCAAUGGGCGAAAGCCUGACGCAGCCAUGCCGCGUGAAUGAUGAAGGUCUUAGGAUUGUAAAAUUCUUUCACCGGGGACGAUAAUGACGGUACCCGGAGAAGAAGCCCCGGCUAACUUCGUGCCAGCCGCCGCGGUAA